rnacentral:rRNA from 1 species
AGUGAACGCUGGCGGUAUGCCUAACACAUGCAAGUCGAACGGCAGCACAGUAAGAGCUUGCUCUUACGGGUGGCGAGUGGCGGACGGGUGAGUAAUACAUCGGAAUCUACUUUUUCGUGGGGGGUAACGGAGGGAAACUUACGCUAAUACCGCAUACGACCUACGGGUGAAAGCAGGAGAUCUUCGGACCUUGCGCGAUUGAAUGAGCCGAUGUCGGAUUAGCUAGUUGGGGGGGUAAAGGCCCACCAAGGCGACGAUCCGUAGCUGGUCUGAGAGGAUGAUCAGCCACACUGGAACUGAGACACGGUCCAGACUCCUACGGGAGGCAGCAGUGGGGAAUAUUGGACAAUGGGCGCAAGCCUGAUCCAGCCAUGCCGCGUGCGUGAAGAAGGCCUUCGGGUUGUAAAGCCCUUUUGUUGGGAAAGAAAAGCAGCAGGUUAAUACCCCGCGGUUCUGACGGUACCCAAAGAAUAAGCACCGGCUAACUUCGUG